UAAGGAAUAUUGGUCAAUGGACGAAAGUCUGAACCAGCCAUGCCGCGUGAAGGAUGAAGGCCCUCUGGGUUGUAAACUUCUUUUAUCUGGGACGAAAAACAGGAAUUCUUUCCUGCUCGACGGUACCAGAGGAAUAAGCACCGGCUAACUCCGUGCCAGCAGCCGCGGUAAUACGGAGGGUGCAAGCGUUAUCCGGAUUUACUGGGUUUAAAGGGUGCGUAGGUGGGUAGGUAAGUCAGUGGUGAAAUCUUCGAGCUUAACUCGGAAACUGCCAUUGAUACUAUCUAUCUUGAAUUAUCUGGAGGUAAGCGGAAUAUGUCAUGUAGCGGUGAAAUGCUUAGAUAUGACAUAGAACACCCAUUGCGAAGGCAGCUUACUACGGAUAUAUUGACACUGAGGCACGAAAGCGUGGGGAUCAAACAGGAUUAGAUACCCCGGUAGUCC
rnacentral:rRNA from 1 species